rnacentral:rRNA from 1 species
UACGUAGGGGGCAAGCGUUAUCCGGAUUUACUGGGUGUAAAGGGAGCGUAGACGGCGGUGCAAGCCAGAUGUGAAAGCCCGGGGCUCAACCCCGGGACUGCAUUUGGAACUGUAUGGCUGGAGUGUCGGAGAGGCAGGCGGAAUUCCUAGUGUAGCGGUGAAAUGCUUAGAUAUUACUCAGAACACCGAUUGCGCAGGCAGCUUGCUAAUCCGCAUCUGACGCUGAUGCACGAAAGCGUGGGUAGCGAACAGG